rnacentral:rRNA from 1 species
GCAAUACAACUGGUGGCGACCGGCGCACGGGUGAGUAACGCGUAUGCAACCUACCUAUCAGAGGGGAAUAACCCGGCGAAAGUCGGACUAAUACCGCAUAAAACAGGGGCACCGCAUGGUGAUAUUUGUUAAAGAAAUUCGCUGAUAGAUGGGCAUGCGUUCCAUUAGGUAGUUGGUGAGGUAACGGCUCACCAAGCCGACGAUGGAUAGGGGAACUGAGAGGUUGGUCCCCCACACUGGUACUGAGACACGGACCAGACUCCUACGGGAGGCAGCAGUGAGGAAUAUUGGUCAAUGGGCGAGAGCCUGAACCAGCCAAGUCGCGUGAAGGAAGAAGGAUCUAUGGUUCGUAAACUUCUUUUGCAGGGGAAUAAAGUGCGGGACGUGUCCUGUUUUGUAUGUACCCUGAGAAUAAGGAUCGGCUAACUCCGUGCCAGCAGCCGCGGUAAUACGGAGGAUCCGAGCGUUAUCCGGAUUUAUUGGGUUUAAAGGGUGCGUAGGUGGUUUGAUAAGUCAGCGGUGAAAGUUUGCAGCUUAACUGUAAAAAUGCCGUUGAAACUGUCGGACUUGAGUGUAAAUGAGGUAGGCGGAAUGCGUGGU